UCAGGCACUCAUUUCUAUUUUGACAAUGAGUGGCGCAAGCAGUGCUUAGCUUACCUGCAGAUGUAAGCACUCUGGUUUUUCAUUAAGAAAAAAAAACAACAUGCUGCUCUAAACUGUCACCUCUUCCUACUGCUAAUAUUUUGAAAGGUUAGGUUUGUGAGAGUAAUGAAGGACCAUAAGAGGUUGGGCUGCUGCUGCCAUGUCUAAUGGAGAAAGAGCUACUGUUUAUGAUUCAGUUGAGGCCCAUGUUGAUGCCAGUAACACUGGAGAGGAAGAAUAGAUAAAGAGGAGUGGAGGGAGUUCUACAAAGAAGAUACGCAAAUACUACACAGUCUAAAUCAGGAGGGGUUGCAUCGCUGGGCACUCUCACUGUUAUGUUGCAUUGCAGGCUUUUUCAAUUUUCACAUUUAC
rnacentral:lncRNA from 1 species